UACGUAGGGUGCGAGCGUUAAUCGGAAUUACUGGGCGUAAAGCGUGCGCAGGCGGUUCGUUAAGUUCGUUGUGAAAGCCCCGGGCUCAACCUGGGAACUGCAAUGGAAACUGGCGGGCUUGAGUGUGGCAGGGGGGGGUGGAAUUCCGCGUGUAGCAGUGAAAUGCGUAGAGAUGCGGAGGAACACCGAUGGCGAAGGCAGCCCCCUGGGCCAACACUGACGCUCAGGCACGAAAGCGUGGGGAGCAAACAGG
rnacentral:rRNA from 1 species